UGCCAUCACAGACACCGCCUACAGGAGUAUGAUGCAAGACCGAGAAGAUCAAUCCAUCUUGUGCACUGGUGAAUCUGGAGCUGGCAAGACGGAGAACACCAAGAAGGUCAUCCAGUAUCUGGCGUACGUGGCGUCCUCGCACAAGAGCAAGAAGGACCAGGGCGAGCUGGAGCGGCAGCUGCUGCAGGCCAACCCCAUCCUGGAGGCCUUCGGGAACGCCAAGACCGUGAAGAAUGACAACUCCUCCCGCUUCGGCAAAUUCAUUCGCAUCAACUUUGAUGUCAAUGGCUACAUUGUUGGAGCCAACAUUGAG
rnacentral:misc_RNA from 1 species